AUGGCGUGGAGCGGCGAGGGGAGGGACUGGGCCGCGGCGGACUCGGCGGCGGAGGGAGGAGCGCGGCUGCGGGCGGGCGGCGAGCGAGGCGCUCAAAGUCAGCCUCGCAGACAUUGCAGCAGAGCCCCGAACUCGGGAGGAGGCGGCGGCGGCGGCGGCGGCGGCGCGGCGGUGGCGGAGGAGGCGGAGGAGGCGGAGGAGGCGGAGGAGGCGGCGGCCGAGGCGGAGGGACGACCCGGCCCCAAGCCCUCCCUCCCGCCAGCGCACGCCUGCCGGUGGCCCCGCGGCCGCCACUGUGCUUGGCAGCACUGCUGCUCUGAGGGAAGAGCUCGCCGGGGCGCCGGGGAAGGACGGGGCGGCGGGGCGCCUUCGUGGAGUGAGCCUGACGGAACCCAGGCUCGGAGCCGCGGCGGCCUCGGGGAGCUUUUGGACUGUGAGCUAUUUCAGAACUCUGUUCUCAGGACCUGUUAUUUUAACAGUCAGGAGAAACACAUCCAGAAGGUGCACACUAGACCAAAAGAGGAACAGGGAAAUCUAAAGACUCCAGAUGACAUCAGCGCUACUUUUCAACAGCCUUCUCCAUUUCCUUUCUCAGAAGUAGAGACAGACCUCAGAGACAGAUGGAUUUGCUGACAAUUUCUGACUUAUCAGCACCCACCUUAUGAAAAUCCUUUAUUUAUGAACAGCUGCUGGAACUGGGUACUCCUUUACCAGUCCAUCCCCAGAAACUUCUCCUCUUCCUUACAGAAACUUCUUGGGAUGAAGUUUAGGAUUUGGAAAUGAGAAGAUUAUUGCAGAUGAUCCAGACAGGUAUGAAAUACAAUCACAAGAGUUCUUAUAGGUGAGAAGCAGAGGGGACAUUUGACACAGGCAGAAGAAGAGAAGGCAAUGUGACCAUAGAGUCAGAAACAGGCAUGCUGCUGCCACAAACCAAGGCAUGUGAGCAGCCACCAGGAGCUGGAGGAAGGGAGGAACAGAUUCUUCCCUAGAGCCUCUGAAGGGAGGGUGGCCCCGCUAACACCUUAAUUUUGGCCCAGUGAAACUGAUUUCAAACUUCUGGUCUCCAGAACAAUGAGAGAAUCAGUUACUGUUGUUUGAAGUCCCCAAGUUUGUGGUGAUCUGUCAUAGCAGCCCUAGGAAAUUUAGAUAUCCCGGGCUACUGUGUAGGAAAUGAAUGAAAGACAAAGGAAUCCAUUUUAAUGUUCUGCAAAUAUCUUCCCAGGGUAGAUGCAGGCUCCA
rnacentral:lncRNA from 1 species